UACGGGGGGGGCAAGCGUUGUUCGGAAUUACUGGGCGUAAAGGGCUCGUAGGUGGCCAACUAAGUCAGACGUGAAAUCCCUCGGCUUAACCGGGGAACUGCGUCUGAUACUGGAUGGCUAGAGUUUGGGAGAGGGAUGCGGAAUUCCAGGUGUAGCGGUGAAAUGCGCAGAUAUCAGGAGGAACACCGGUGGCGAAGGCGGAUCUCUGGGCCUUACCUGACGCUGAGGCGCGAAAGCUAGGGGAGCGAACAGG
rnacentral:rRNA from 1 species